GUGGUAUCCCUUGUUGUUUUUUUUUCUUUUUUAAACCAAGGGUAUUGUGCAACAUUUAUUAUGAUGUUUUGAUUGAUCUCAUGCCUUUAUCUUCACCUAGAAUCGGAUCAUCUAGGAUUGUGGCAUGCUUCACUUUCAAUAUUUCACAGCUGCAAAUAGCUGCAAUCAAUACCCUAUUUUCAGUGGAAUCCAUACUCUGUUUUUGGUAACCAAGCUGUUAAUCAAUGUAUGAUUGCUGGUCCCUGUACGUUAGAUACACUGGUUCUAACCACCUUUUAUUAUUAUUCACCGUCAGCCCUUAAUCGCUGUUUGUAAUCGAUAAUGAUUCCAGUGCUUGAUGUUGUUGGGUAGCAAUGCAUAGAUUGUUUUUGACAGCUUUGUAUUUGGUGUUAGCGCAUUGAUUACUUGCUUGUCAUGGGCUAUUUGUUUUGGUUGUAACAUGAUUGGUUGUAUGGAUUUUUUUUUUGGCAUUAUAGAUACAUGUUAGUGCAUCAAUCAUUGAUAUCUUAUGGGCCAAAGACCAUCUCUAGACACUAGGCUUGUGACGUACAUGAAUCCACUUUGGACCCUUUACUAGUUUUGCAAACAAACAUCAUGUAAAGAAUUAACUAGUAAAGAGUAGUCUGCCCCACCUGACUCCUUUGUUUUGUGAUUCGGGUGUGAGCAGCUAUAAUGGAUAAUCCCCUCCCGAGCUGUCUUUUGUAUGAUUCUUGCUAAGGCCAGUCCACUCAUCAGGAGCUACUUCCAUGCUCGGAGAGCCUAGUGCUUCAAUAGGCAAUUCUGGGAAGACCCAACUUGCAUACAGAUGAUCUGAGCAUUCUCUUGUACAGACCAAGUUGAUAUCACUGACAAUAGCUACAUAGGAAAAGGCAUGUACAUAUGCUAGGAGCCAAUCAUAGCCUCUUUGAGGUUGAAUGAUUGUGAAACUAUAAAACUAGCUACAUAGUUUUUCAUUUUGUCGUUAUUGUCUUGCCUACACUUCUGUUUUAUCCAUUUGGGUUUUAAGCAAAAACUUUAAUACCAUCAGGAAGAAGCUAAAGAUAAAGAAGAAGAGGAAUACGAAGAAAAAUCUGAAGAAGAAACUGAGGUCAGUGGAAUGUCUCUUUGAUUAUUGCUUCUUUUGUGUUUUUCUUUGUCUCUUCUUACUUUGGGAAUCUUAUGUUACAACCUGACAAUUUCAUUUUGCACCACUUAGCUGUCAUUAUCUGUACUCACUUCCUUCUUUUAUGUAACUGGGCCUGAUGUUUGGCUGAAAAAGAAAGGCAUGCAGGGUGUUAUUGAGAUCGAAAAUCCUAAUUUGGUAAAACCAAAGAAUUUGAAAGCUAGAGACGUUGAUACUACUGCAGAGUGGGAACAUCGUAGAGAAAAUUUUGUCGAAGAGCUAGAUUUUGUUAUUGCAGACUUGGUAUAGCUCUUUUUCAUGAUUAGAGUGUUGUGAACAUUGUUCUUUCUUCUCAUAUUAUUUUUCCUUGGAAUGUUGAAUAUUAAUACCAAUCAGUACUAUAUGACUGCUACGGUUAACCUUAUUUUUUAAUUCGAAUUUUGAACUAUUUAUAACUUCGAAGUAAUUCACUAUAUCAUGAAUUAGUUGGAUGCAUGAUGCUAGGUAAAAGUAUACAAGCAACAUAUUGGAUUAUCUAAAGAGAUUAUUCCUUAGUAACAUCCAAGAGUAGAAUACUGUUUUUUAUUUGUCGGUGCAAUACAUCUGUUUUAUUUGAGUGUACUUCCAUAACUUGGUGGGAAGGUUAGCUAAAAAAAGAAAAAAAGAAGAAGAACAUGUUGCUAGCCCUCAGAGAAAAGAACAUCUGGUCAGGAGAACAGUGCAUACUUUAUGUGCAAGGUGUAAUGAAGACUUAUCAACAAGUUCAUUCUGAUUUCCUAUCACUUCAUGGGACAAACUAACAAAAGACUUUAUCUGUGAUGCAGUCAUAAGAAGCUUAAUGCUCAUCUCUAACUAGUCCAUAU